rnacentral:rRNA from 1 species
GACGAACCGUGCGAACGUUAUUCGGAAUCACUGGGCUUAAAGCGCGUGUAGGCGGUCCGGCACGUCGAUGCUGAAAGCCCCCGGCUCAACCGGGGAACGGGCGUCGAUACGACCGGCCUGGAGGGGGGUAGGGGGAGCCGGAACUUCCGGUGGAGCGGUGAAAUGCGUUGAGAUCGGAAGGAACGCCCGUGGCGAAAGCGGGGUCCUGGACCCCACCUGACGCUGAGACGCGAAAGCCAGGGGAGCGAACGGG